UACGAAGGGGGCUAGCGUUGCUCGGAAUCACUGGGCGUAAAGGGUGCGUAGGCGGGUCUUUAAGUCAGGGGUGAAAUCCUGGAGCUCAACUCCAGAACUGCCUUUGAUACUGAGGAUCUUGAGUUCGGGAGAGGUGAGUGGAACUGCGAGUGUAGAGGUGAAAUUCGUAGAUAUUCGCAAGAACACCAGUGGCGAAGGCGGCGUUCUGGACCAUUACUGACACUGAAUCGCGAAAGCUAGGGGAGCAAACGGG
rnacentral:rRNA from 1 species